GAUGAACGCUGGCGGCGUGCCUAAUACAUGCAAGUCGAGCGAACGGACGAGAAGCUUGCUUCUCUGAUGUUAGCGGCGGACGGGUGAGUAACACGUGGAUAACCUACCUAUAAGACUGGGAUAACUUCGGGAAACCGGAGCUAAUACCGGAUAAUAUUUUGAACCGCAUGGUUCAAAAGUAAAAGACGGUCUUGCUGUCACUUAUAGAUGGAUCCGCGCUGCAUUAGCUAGUUGGUAAGGUAACGGCUUACCAAGGCAACGAUGCAUAGCCGACCUGAGAGGGUGAUCGGCAACACUGGAACUGAGACACGGUCCAGACUCCUACGGGAGGCAGCAGUAGGGAAUCUUCCGCAAAGGGCGAAAGCCUGACGGAGCAACGCCGCGUGAGUGAUGAAGGUCUUCGGAUCGUAAAACUCUGUUAUUAGGGAAGAACAUAUGUGUAAGUAACUGUGCACAUCUUGACGGUACCUAAUCAGAAAGCCACGGCUAACUACGUG
rnacentral:rRNA from 1 species